UGGGGAAUAUUGGACAAUGGGCGAAAGCCUGAUCCAGCCAUGCCGCGUGUGUGAAGAAGGCCUUUUGGUUGUAAAGCACUUUAAGUGGGGAGGAAAAGCUUGUGGUUAAUACCCAUAAGCCCUGACGUUACCCACAGAAUAAGCACCGGCUAACUCUGUGCCAGCAGCCGCGGUAAUACAGAGGGUGCAAGCGUUAAUCGGAAUUACUGGGCGUAAAGCGCGCGUAGGUGGUUAUUUAAGUCAGAUGUGAAAGCCCCGGGCUUAACCUGGGAACUGCAUCUGAUACUGGAUAACUAGAGUAGGUGAGAGGGGAGUAGAAUUCCAGGUGUAGCGGUGAAAUGCGUAGAGAUCUGGAGGAAUACCGAUGGCGAAGGCAGCUCCCUGGCAUCAUACUGACACUGAGGUGCGAAAGCGUGGGUAGCAAACAGGAUUAGAUACCCUGGUAGUCCACGCCGUAAACGAUGUCUACCAGUCGUUGGGUCCUUUAAAGACUUAGUGACGCAGUUAACGCAAUAAGUAGACCGCCUGGGGAGUACGGCCGCAAGGUUA
rnacentral:rRNA from 1 species